UUAAGUUAUUAAGGGCGCACGGUGGAUGCCUUGGCACUAGAAGCCGAUGAAGGACGUUACUAACGACGAUAUGCUUUGGGGAGCUGUAAGUAAGCUUUGAUCCAGAGAUUUCCGAAUGGGGAAACCCAGCAUGAGUUAUGUCAUGUUAUCGAUAUGUGAAUACAUAGCAUAUCAGAAGGCACACCCGGAGAACUGAAACAUCUUAGUACCCGGAGGAAGAGAAAGAAAAUUCGAUUCCCUUAGUAGCGGCGAGCGAAACGGGAAGAGCCCAAACCAACAAGCUUGCUUGUUGGGGUUGUAGGACACUCUGUACGGAGUUACAAAGGACGACAUUAGACGAAUCAUCUGGAAAGAUGAAUCAAAGAAGGUAAUAAUCCUGUAGUCGAAAAUGUUGUCUCUCUUGAGUGGAUCCUGAGUACGACGGAGCACGUGAAAUUCCGUCGGAAUCUGGGAGGACCAUCUCCUAAGGCUAAAUACUCUCUAGUGACCGAUAGUGAACCAGUACCGUGAGGGAAAGGUGAAAAGCACCCCGGAAGGGGAGUGAAAUAGAACCUGAAACCGUGUGCUUACAAGUAGUCAGAGCCCGUUAAUGGGUGAUGGCGUGCCUUUUGUAGAAUGAGCCGGCGAGUUACGAUUUGAUGCAAGGUUAAGCAGUAAAUGUGGAGCCGUAGCGAAAGCGAGUCUGAAUAGGGCGUUUAGUAUUUGGUCGUAGACCCGAAACCAGGUGAUCUACCCUUGGUCAGGUUGAAGUUCAGGUAACACUGAAUGGAGGACCGAACCGACUUACGUUGAAAAGUGAGCGGAUGAACUGAGGGUAGCGGAGAAAUUCCAAUCGAACCUGGAGAUAGCUGGUUCUCUCCGAAAUAGCUUUAGGGCUAGCCUCAAGUGAUGAUUAUUGGAGGUAGAGCACUGUUUGGACGAGGGGCCCCUCUCGGGUUACCGAAUUCAGACAAACUCCGAAUGCCAAUUAAUUUAACUUGGGAGUCAGAACAUGGGUGAUAAGGUCCGUGUUCGAAAGGGAAACAGCCCAGACCACCAGCUAAGGUCCCAAAAUAUAUGUUAAGUGGAAAAGGAUGUGGCGUUGCCCAGACAACUAGGAUGUUGGCUUAGAAGCAGCCAUCAUUUAAAGAGUGCGUAAUAGCUCACUAGUCGAGUGACACUGCGCCGAAAAUGUACCGGGGCUAAACAUAUUACCGAAGCUGUGGAUUGUCCUUUGGACAAUGGUAGGAGAGCGUUCUAAGGGCGUUGAAGCAUGAUCGUAAGGACAUGUGGAGCGCUUAGAAGUGAGAAUGCCGGUGUGAGUAGCGAAAGACGGGUGAGAAUCCCGUCCACCGAUUGACUAAGGUUUCCAGAGGAAGGCUCGUCCGCUCUGGGUUAGUCGGGUCCUAAGCUGAGGCCGACAGGCGUAGGCGAUGGAUAACAGGUUGAUAUUCCUGUACCACCUAUAAUCGUUUUAAUCGAUGGGGGGACGCAGUAGGAUAGGCGAAGCGUGCGAUUGGAUUGCACGUCUAAGCAGUAAGGCUGAGUAUUAGGCAAAUCCGGUACUCGUUAAGGCUGAGCUGUGAUGGGGAGAAGACAUUGAGUCUUCGAGUCGUUGAUUUCACACUGCCGAGAAAAGCCUCUAGAUAGAAAAUAGGUGCCCGUACCGCAAACCGACACAGGUAGUCAAGAUGAGAAUUCUAAGGUGAGCGAGCGAACUCUCGUUAAGGAACUCGGCAAAAUGACCCCGUAACUUCGGGAGAAGGGGUGCUCUUUAGGGUUAACGCCCAGAAGAGCCGCAGUGAAUAGGCCCAAGCGACUGUUUAUCAAAAACACAGGUCUCUGCUAAACCGUAAGGUGAUGUAUAGGGGCUGACGCCUGCCCGGUGCUGGAAGGUUAAGAGGAGUGGUUAGCUUCUGCGAAGCUACGAAUCGAAGCCCCAGUAAACGGCGGCCGUAACUAUAACGGUCCUAAGGUAGCGAAAUUCCUUGUCGGGUAAGUUCCGACCCGCACGAAAGGCGUAACGAUUUGGGCACUGUCUCAACGAGAGACUCGGUGAAAUCAUAGUACCUGUGAAGAUGCAGGUUACCCGCGACAGGACGGAAAGACCCCGUGGAGCUUUACUGUAGCCUGAUAUUGAAAUUCGGCACAGCUUGUACAGGAUAGGUAGGAGCCUUUGAAACGUGAGCGCUAGCUUACGUGGAGGCGCUGGUGGGAUACUACCCUAGCUGUGUUGGCUUUCUAACCCGCACCACUUAUCGUGGUGGGAGACAGUGUCANGCGGGCAGUUUGACUGGGGCGGUCGCCUCCUAAAAGGUAACGGAGGCGCUCAAAGGUUCCCUCAGAAUGGUUGGAAAUCAUUCAUAGAGUGUAAAGGCAUAAGGGAGCUUGACUGCGAGACCUACAAGUCGAGCAGGGUCGAAAGACGGACUUAGUGAUCCGGUGGUUCCGCAUGGAAGGGCCAUCGCUCAACGGAUAAAAGCUACCCCGGGGAUAACAGGCUUAUCUCCCCCAAGAGUUCACAUCGACGGGGAGGUUUGGCACCUCGAUGUCGGCUCAUCGCAUCCUGGGGCUGUAGUCGGUCCCAAGGGUUGGGCUGUUCGCCCAUUAAAGCGGUACGCGAGCUGGGUUCAGAACGUCGUGAGACAGUUCGGUCCCUAUCCGUCGUGGGCGUAGGAAAUUUGAGAGGAGCUGUCCUUAGUACGAGAGGACCGGGAUGGACAUACCUCUGGUGUACCAGUUGUCGUGCCAACGGCAUAGCUGGGUAGCUAUGUGUGGACGGGAUAAGUGCUGAAAGCAUCUAAGCAUGAAGCCCCCCUCAAGAUGAGAUUUCCCAACUUCGGUUAUAAGAUCCCUCAAAGAUGAUGAGGUUAAUAGGUUCGAGGUGGAAGCAUGGUGACAUGUGGAGCUGACGAAUACUAAUCGAUCGAAGACUUAAUCAA
rnacentral:rRNA from 1 species